rnacentral:rRNA from 1 species
CCCUUAGAUGUUCUGGGCUGCACCCGUGCUACACUGGCAGGUUCAGCGAGCUUCAUGCCCUGAUCUGAAAGGAAUGGGAAAUCUUUUCAAAACCUGCCGUGCUUGGGAUAGAUGUUUGCAAUUAUUCAUCUUCAACGAGGAUUGCCUUGUAAGCGCACGUCAUCAGCGUGCAUUGAAUACGACCCUGUAUUCUGUACACACCGCCCGUCGCUCCUACCAAUUGAAGUUUUCGGUGAGUUGACAGGAGGAUUUUUUUGAAACUGGUUCGCCAGUGGAUUUUAGAUCCAAAUGCCAACGAAUCGAUGGCUUUAGAGGAAGGAGAAGUCGUAACA